CAUCAUCAGCAGAAUGGAGACGCACAUCUGGAUUCCUCUUCAUGUGGGCGUCUCUUUCAGAGGCCUUCAACAUCGACACUGAACAUCCACUGAGAUUUAACGGCACGCCAGAAGAUUUCUUUGGUUACAGCGUUUAUCAGACCGAGUUUGGAAACAGGAA